rnacentral:misc_RNA from 1 species
GUCAAACUCUUGCGUCAAAAGUUCCGUGAAACCUUUGGGGUGGAAUCUGACAAAGUAGUUGAUAUCAAUACUGUUGACGGUUUCCAGGGACGUGAAAAGGACGUUGCAAUAUUUUCAUGUGUUAGAGCAAGCAAAGAUAAAGGCAUUGGUUUUGUUGCUGAUUAUCGGCGAAUGAAUGUUGGCAUAACCAGAGCACGGUCUUCUGUCCUGGUUGUUGGUUCUGCAUCCACGUUAAGAAAGGACGCACGUUGGCAAAAUUUAGUUGAGAGUGCGGAGAAGAGGAAUGCGCUCCACAAGGUCUCCAAGCCCUAUGCUGAAUUCUUCAGUGAGGAGAAUCUCAAAUUAUUGAAAGUGGAAGUAGCGCAUGACAAACAUGAGGCUCCUCCAGAAGAUAUGGAUAUUGAUGUGCCCAUUGCUGCUGAAACUGAUCAUGCCCCACAGGAAGACUGGGGUUAUGCUGGAGAAGAAGGGGGCUACGAUGAGGACUAGGUUCGUCUACAAGUCUUUCUCCCCGUCAUAUUUUGACAAAUUUGAAUUUCCCUUUUACAAGAUUGUUCCAGAAAUCUCUCCUAUGGAACAUAAUUUAUAGGUAUCAUAAUGAUGUCCAAAAUCAUUCUAGUGCAGGGACUGAAUUUCAAUUGAUUAUUAGGAGCUUGGAACAACUUGACAUAAG